UAAACGACUCUCGGCAACGGAUAUCUCGGCUCUCGCAUCGAUGAAGAACGUAGCGAAAUGCGAUACUUGGUGUGAAUUGCAGAAUCCCGUGAACCAUCGAGUUUUUGAACGCAAGUUGCGCCCGAAGCCUCCGGCUGAGGGCACGUCUGCCUGGGCGUCACGC
rnacentral:rRNA from 1 species